AUGAACGCUGGCGGCGUGCCUAAUACAUGCAAGUCGCGCGAACGGACGAGAAGCUUGCUUCUCUGAUGUUAGCGGCGGACGGGUGAGUAACACGUGGAUAACCUACCUAUAAGACUGGGAUAACUUCGGGAAACCGGAGCUAAUACCGGAUGAUAUUUUGAACCGCAUGGUUCAAAAGUGAAAGACGGUCUUGCUGUCACUUAUAGAUGGAUCCGCGCUGCAUUAGCUAGUUGGUAAGGUAACGGCUUACCAAGGCAACGAUGCAUAGCCGACCUGAGAGGGUGAUCGGCCACACUGGAACUGAGACACGGUCCAGACUCCUACGGGAGGCAGCAGUAGGGAAUCUUCCGCAAAGGGCGAAAGCCUGACGGAGCAACGCCGCGUGAGUGAUGAAGGUCUUCGGGUCGUAAAACUCUGUUAUUAGGGAAGAACAUAUGUGUAAGUAACUGUGCACAUCUUGACGGUACCUAAUCAGAAAGCCACGGCUAACUACGUG
rnacentral:rRNA from 1 species